UAAGUGUUCUAAAUAUUACUGAAGUACCUGUUCAAGUUCUCACCUCUAUAUUAUCUGAAGACCUUGUUUUCCCAUCUAAAUGAAAAAUGAUGUGUUCUCUGCAACAAAUGUUUCCUAGAGUGUUCCAGUACAGUAAGUGUGUACUUUCUUCUCUUGAGGAAAAAAAAUGAAGGGUUAGUUAUUCUCUGCAUUGAUUAAUUUAAUAUUGGAUUGCUGGGAGGAGGAUGAGGUCGAAACUAACUCAUCAAUGUUUGUUUUAGAAACUAUAUUUCAUACAACAACAGAAAAAGUUAAUGGUUAUCAUAAGAGUGCUCAGGACUGCAGAUGCAGUUCAUUGGCACAGUGUUUAGCAUGAAGAAGGCCCUGGUUAGUUUAUUUGGGUUAAUUACACACACACACACACACACACACACACACACACACACACACACACACACACACACAAGAGAUCUCUACUAAAGUAGUAGAUAAAUAGCAUCUUGUGUCUCCUACAACCUCAUUUAUCAUUUUUGAAACCUUGGCAUUCACUUCAGUUCAAGUAAAUAUAACGCCUCAGCAUACCUUGAUCAUAGCUUCUUAUCAGCAAAUUAAUAAUCAUUAAUGAGGAGCAUUUGGAUUACAGCCUUUCUUACCUGAUCACUUUUCUUAAUGGAAUGUUCUUACCUGAUUAUUAAGUAAAGUGUGUUCAGUUAUUAUUGGUGUAACACAAAGAAGCCAAAAGUAAUAGCUCACAAAGUAAGGAAUGAUUGAUAUCACAUGAUGCUGAUAAAAUUAAAACAGCAAAAAAUAUCACAAUGAAACACAGUAAUUUGGCUUUUGUACAUAUCAUCCUGAGUGAGGUAACCCAAUCACAAAAGGACACACAUGAUAUACACUCACUGAUAAGCAGAUAUUAGCCCAGAAACUUAGAAUAUCCAAGAUACAAUUUGCAAAACAUGAAACUCAAGAAGAAGGAAAACCAAAGUAUGGGUACCUCAGUCCUUCUUAGAAUGGGGAACAAAACACCCAUAGAAGGAGUAACAGAGACUAAGUUUGGAGUUGAGACAGAAGGAAGAACCAUCCAGAGACUGCCCCACAAGGGGAUCCAUCCCAUAAACAACCACCAAACCCAGACACUAUUGCAUAUGCCAGCAAGAUUUUGCUGAUAUAGCUCUCUUAUGUGAGGCUAUGCCACAAAUGCAGAAGUGUAUACUCACAGUCAUCUAUUGGAUGGAACACAGGGUCCCCAAUGAAAGAGCUAAGAAAUUACCCAAGGAGCUAAAGAGGUCUGCAACCCUAUAGGAGGAACAACAAUAUGAACUAACCAUUCCCCACCUCUCAUCCCCAGAGCUUGUGUCUCUAGUUUCAUAUGUAGCAGAGGAUGGCCUAGUAGGCCAUCAAGGGGAGGAGAGGCUCUCAGUCUUGAGAAGAUUAUAUGCCCCAGAACAGGGGAAUGCCAGGGUCAGGAAGUAAGAGUGGGUGGGUUGGGGAGCAGAGGUGGGGGUGAGGCUAUAAGGGGCUUUUGGAGAGGAAAGUAGGAAAGGGGAUAGCAUUUGAAAUGUAAAUGAAGAAAAUAUCUACUAAAAAAAUAAAAAAAAAAUAAAACCUAGUAGUUUUUACCUUACACAAAACUGAGAUACAAGAAUACUUUUGUUUUAUAGUGCAUCUUCCGAGGAAGUCUCAUUAAAGCACUCAUUUUUUUUUCUAGGGGCA
rnacentral:lncRNA from 1 species